AUGAGCAAGGAGCAGAAGGACCUGAAGAAGAAGGGCAAGGGAGGUGGGGCGAUAUGCAUGUCCAGGGAGGUCAGGUCGUUGUUGCUUUUGGUGUUCUGCGUUCAAAGGGAUCAAGAUGGUGCCUUUCUUUGGGUCUGCAUUUCGUCCACUACUUCUCCCACCCAGCAGGGUAUGGUGGACGACCAGUUCCGGCAGCUGCAGUCGCUGCAGGAGGAUGGCGGCAGCACGUCGGGCUUCGUCGCCGAGGUCGCCACCCUCUUCAUCGACGACGCCGACCGGAUCAUCAACGACAUCGGCAGCCUGCUGGAUGCCGGCGGAACCUAG
rnacentral:rRNA from 1 species